UACAGAGGGGGCAAGCGUUGUUCGGAAUUACUGGGCGUAAAGGGCGCGUAGGCGGCCUUCUAAGUCGAACGUGAAAUCCCCGGGCUCAACCCGGGAACUGCGUCCGAUACUGGAAGGCUUGAAUCCGGGAGAGGGAUGCGGAAUUCCAGGUGUAGCGGUGAAAUGCGUAGAUAUCUGGAGGAACACCGGUGGCGAAGGCGGGUCUCUGGACAGUUACUGACGCUGAGGCACGAAGGCCAGGGGAGCAAACGGG
rnacentral:rRNA from 1 species